rnacentral:rRNA from 1 species
CCGGCGCACGGGUGAGUAACACGUAUGGAACCUGCCCUAUGCAGGGGGAUAAGCGGAAGAAAUUCCGUCUAAUACCGCAUAACACCUUUAGGAGACAUCUUCUUGGGGUCAAAGGAGGCGACUCCGGCAUAGGAUGGCCAUGCGUCGCAUUAGCUAGUCGGCAGGGUAACGGCCCACCGAGGCGACGAUGCGUAGGGGUUCUGAGAGGAAGGUCCCCCACACUGGUACUGAGACACGGACCAGACUCCUACGGAAGGCAGCAG